AUCCAGCUGACGAGUCCCGAGUAGGACGAAACACAUGUACUGGAU
rnacentral:hammerhead_ribozyme from 1 species